UAGAAAUUUGCUCUUUUAGUAUUUGCCCAGUAGAUUUCCUUUAAAAGGAAGCCCUU
ensembl:snRNA U7 U7 small nuclear RNA